AUUGAACGCUGGCGGCAGGCCUAACACAUGCAAGUCGAACGGUAACAGGAAGCAGCUUGCUGCUUUGCUGACGAGUGGCGGACGGGUGAGUAAUGUCUGGGAAACUGCCUGAUGGAGGGGGAUAACUACUGGAAACGGUAGCUAAUACCGCAUAAUGUCUCAAGACCAAAGAGGGGGACCUUAGGGCCUCUUGCCAUCGGAUUUGCCCAGAUGGGAUUAGCUAGUAGGUGGGGUAACGGCUCACCUAGGCGACGAUCCCUAGCUGGUCUGAGAGGAUGACCAGCCACACUGGAACUGAGACACGGUCCAGACUCCUACGGGAGGCAGCAGUGGGGAAUAUUGCACAAUGGGCGCAAGCCUGAUGCAGCCAUGCCGCGUGUAUGAAGAAGGCCUUCGGGUUGUAAAGUACUUUCAGCGGGGAGGAAGGGAGUAAAGUUAAUACCUUUGCUCAUUGACGUUACCCGCAGAAGAAGCACCGGCUAACUCCGUG
rnacentral:rRNA from 1 species